GAUGAACGCUGGCGGCGUGCCUAAUACAUGCAAGUCGAGCGAACAGACGAGGAGCUUGCUCCUCUGACGUUAGCGGCGGACGGGUGAGUAACACGUGGAUAACCUACCUAUAAGACUGGGAUAAUUUCGGGAAACCGGAGCUAAUACCGGAUAAUAUAUUGAGCCGCAUGGUUCAACAGUGAAAGACGGUUUUGCUGUCACUUAUAGAUGGAUCCGCGCCGCAUUAGCUAGUUGGUAAGGUAACGGCUUACCAAGGCAACGAUGCGUAGCCGACCUGAGAGGGUGAUCGGCCACACUGGAACUGAGACACGGUCCAGACUCCUACGGGAGGCAGCAGUAGGGAAUCUUCCGCAAUGGGCGAAAGCCUGACGGAGCAACGCCGCGUGAGUGAUGAAGGUCUUCGGAUCGUAAAACUCUGUUAUUAGGGAAGAACAAAUGUGUAAGUAACUAUGCACGUCUUGACGGUACCUAAUCAGAAAGCCACGGCUAACUACGUG
rnacentral:rRNA from 1 species